GGAUGAGAAGGAGACCAUCAGAAGCUCAAAGAGAAGAAACUGGCCCCAUCACCUACCCACAAGGCCUAGCGCUGGCCAAGGACGUUGACUCUGUGAAGUACUUGGAGUGUUCUGCUCUGACCCAGCGUGGCCUGAAGACAGUGUUUGACGAGGCUAUCAGGGCAGUACUCUGCCCACAGCCAACCAAGGUCGGGAAGAAGAAAUGUCUACUGCUCUAACAGAUGCAGCUCAGAGUGAAAACUAGAGAUGACAUUUACCUGAAGUCUGUCUACAUUAUUCUCUCCAUCUGUUGUUGUUUCUCUAGAUGCAGCUCAGAGUGAAAACGGACAGUGAACAAACCAGAGAGCCAGAUGUUAACUCAAAAGGCCUUUUAGCUUUUCUGUGCUAGAAGAAAAAACAUUGACUUAUGAAAGCCUACGUGGUUAAAUAAAUAUAAAAUAUUAUAAUUAAGUCAUGUUAAAUCUAUUACAAUGGUUUCUGAUGUGUGCUUGUUUGGUACUGGUAUAUAGUGUAUGAUAUCUGUGUUUCUGUCAAAUGAAUAAAUUGUAUAAUAUUUGCAGAAUA